rnacentral:rRNA from 1 species
GACGAACGCUGGCGGCGUGCUUAACACAUGCAAGUCGAACGAUGAAGCUGGAGCUUGCUCCGGUGGAUUAGUGGCGAACGGGUGAGUAACACGUGAGCAAUCUGCCCUUGACUCUGGGAUAACUGCGGGAAACUGUAGCUAAUACCGGAUACGAGGCUCGAAGGCAUCUUCGGGUCUGGAAGGAAUUUCGGUCAAGGAUGAGCUCGCGGCCUAUCAGCUUGUUGGUGAGGUAAUGGCUCACCAAGGCGACGACGGGUAGCCGGCCUGAGAGGGUGACCGGCCACACUGGGACUGAGACACGGCCCAGACUCCUACGGGAGGCAGCAGUGGGGAAUAUUGCACAAUGGGCGAAAGCCUGAUGCAGCAACGCCGCGUGAGGGAUGAAGGCCUUCGGGUUGUAAGCCUCUUUUAGCAGGGAAGAAGCGAAAGUGACGGUACCUGCAGAAAAAGCACCGGCUAACUACGUGCCAGCAGCCGCGGUAA